GCCUCGAUAGCUCAGAUUGGUUAGAGCGUCGCCUUGGUAAGGCGAAGGUCGCGGGUUCAAUUCCCGCUCGAGGCU
rnacentral:tRNA from 1 species